AGGGAUGUAGUUAAGUAUAACAUUUGAAUUGCACUCAAAAAGUACUCCUUAGAGUCUUCCUUA
rnacentral:tRNA from 1 species